CGACCGGCCACACUGGGACUGAGACACGGCCCAGACUCCUACGGGAGGCAGCAGUGGGGAAUAUUGCACAAUGGGCGAAAGCCUGAUGCAGCGACGCCGCGUGAGGGAUGACGGCCUUCGGGUUGUAAACCUCUUUCAGCAGGGAAGAAGCGAAAGUGACGGUACCUGCAGAAGAAGCGCCGGCUAACUACGUGCCAGCAGCCGCGGUAAUACGUAGGGCGCGAGCGUUGUCCGGAAUUAUUGGGCGUAAAGAGCUCGUAGGCGGCUUGUCACGUCGGUUGUGAAAGCCCGGGGCUUAACCCCGGGUCUGCAGUCGAUACGGGCAGGCUAGAGUUCGGUAGGGGAGAUCGGAAUUCCUGGUGUAGCGGUGAAAUGCGCAGAUAUCAGGAGGAACACCGGUGGCGAAGGCGGAUCUCUGGGCCGAUACUGACGCUGAGGAGCGAAAGCGUGGGGAGCGAACAGGAUUAGAUACCCUGGUAGUCCACGCCGUAAACGGUGGGCACUAGGUGUGGGCGACAUUCCACGUCGUCCGUGCCGCAGCUAACGCAUUAAGUGCCCCGCCUG
rnacentral:rRNA from 1 species